AUUGCAAAAACUCUGAAGAUAUUCCGAAGAUGCUACAGAGCAAAUACAUAGCAAGAAAUUAUGGAGUGUUGAGGAAGUUUUGGAUUCAUAACUGGAAGGGUGUGAAACUCAAACACCACUCCUUGAGGUAAUACCACUGGAACUUCGGCUGUGGUCUCAACCAGGGUAUGAGCAAGAGGUAGGCCAUAGAAAGCCAACAAACCCUACCAAAUCAGAUGAAGUACAACAGCCAAAAAUUAGGAAAAGGGUUAAAAACAAUCAGCUCCUUCAUUCCCCUGAGAUAAAUGGGAGUAUAAAGCUAAUGAAAAAUCCAAGAUUUUCACUUAUUUUUG